rnacentral:rRNA from 1 species
CCUACGGGAGGCAGCAGUAAGGAAUAUUGGUCAAUGGGCGCAAGCCUGAACCAGCCAUGCCGCGUGCAGGAAGACGGCCCUAUGGGUUGUAAACUGCUUUUGAACAAGAGAAAACCUCGGUACGUGUACCGAGCUGAUAGUAUUGUUAGGAUAAGCAUCGGCUAACUUCGUGCCAGCAGCCGCGGUAAGACGAAGGAUGCAAGCGUUAUCCGGAUUCAUUGGGUUUAAAGGGUGCGUAGGCGGCCUGAUAAGUCAGUGGUGAAAUCUCUCAGCUUAACUGAGAAACUGCCAUUGAUACUGUCGGGCUUGAGUACAGAUGAUGUGGGCGGAAUAUGACAUGUAGUGGUGAAAUACUUAGAUAUGUCAUAGAACACCGAUUGCGAAGGCAGCUCACAAAACUGUAACUGACGCUGAGGCACGAAAGUGCGGGGAUCAAACAGGAUUAGAUACCCUGGUAGUCCGCACCGUAAACGAUGAUUACUCGUUGUUGGCAAUAUGACCGUCAGCGACCAAGCGGAAGCGAAUAAGUAAUUCCACCUGGGGAGUUACGCCGGCACGGUUGAGACGUUCAAAUUGAUUGACGG